rnacentral:rRNA from 1 species
GGCUUUAUGAAUAUUAUUUAAGGUCUGGCCUGCCCACUGAGAAUUUUAACGGCCGCGGUAUUUUGACCGUGCUAAGGUAGCAUAAUCAUUAGUUUUUUAAUUGAAAGCUGGAAUGAAGGGUUGAAUGAGAAAAAUUCUGUCUCUUAAUUAUUUUGUGAGAAAUUUAUUUUUAAGUAAAAAAGCUUAAAUUAUUUUGAAAGACGAGAAGACCCUAUAGAGUUUAAUAUAGAUAUUAAAUUUUUAGUUUAUAAUUUUUUUAAAAAUUUAUAAUUUAUAUUUAGUUGGGGUGACUAAAAAAUUAAAUUAACUUUUUUUAAUAAAUUACAUAUAUAAAUGAAAUAUUGAUCCAUAUUUAGUGAUUAAAAGAAAAAAUUACCUUAGGGAUAACAGCGUUAUUUUUUUUAAGAGUUCAAAUCGAAAAAAAAGAUUGCGACCUCGAUGUUGGAUUAAAAUUAAUUUUUGGUGUAGAAGCUAAGAAUUUUAGGUCUGUUCGACCUUUAAAAUUUUACAUGA